GGAAGCUGUAUUGAAGUAUUUGAGUUCAGUGGAAGGAAUGCAUGGUGAAAAUGUGAAGAAGGGUUGAGAACUCAGAUGUGGUCAUUCUACCCAAGAGUGAUGGUAGCUAUAGGCAUGCAUAGGAGUUAAUACGACUCUGUGCAAUGUCACAUACAGAUGGACAUGAUUAAUGGUCUUUGGUUGAGAGAAAAAGGAAAAACGAGUAGAUGACAUUUAAACCCCACAUCAAAUGGCAAAGUGCUGAAGGAGGAGAGAAAGACCAUGUUGGGGACAGAUGUAUUGUUGCAGAAUUCCUGAGUUUCUGAGUUUCUGUCUCAUGAUCACAAAGAAUGAGAAAUGUGAACAGAGGAGGAGGUUUCACCAUCCAGCUGACUUCUAUCAUGUUUAUAAAAGAGUCCAUUUAUCACCCCACCAUCACUUUCUACUGAGGAUUGGAAAGCUUCUCUUUCCUUACCGUGAACAAAACUCCAAGAAAGGCUUCACUGUGAUUGGACAAAUUAGACCAUUGUUUCAUUCUGGGAUUAGGUCAGGAAAAUGAGAUUAUACUGAAUGUUCUAAAACAACCAAAGACCAUCUUUGGGGUUUAACUUGGAUUGAACUAUGACCAAGAUUCAUGCAUGAGAGACUCAAGACAACUGUGAAGAAAUGGGGCAUAUACAUUUCCCUCCUUUCUAAAAUUGACAAUCCUGAUGAACUAUAGGCUGGUCAUUAGUUCAAUCAUAGUUUAGUCACUUUGAUAAUCCCAACACAGGACUUCGCACAAAGUAGGUAUUCAAUAAACGUAUUCUUAAAGAUGGAGGGCCAGCUCUGUAACACAGUGGUUA